UACAGAGGGGGCAAGCGUUGUUCGGAAUUACUGGGCGUAAAGGGCGCGUAGGCGGCACUGUUAGUCAGGCGUGAAAGUCCUGGGCUCAACCUGGGAACUGCGCUUGAUACGGCAGAGCUAGAGGAUGGAAGAGGCUCGCGGAAUUCCCAGUGUAGAGGUGAAAUUCGUAGAUAUCAGGAGGAACACCUGCGGUGUAGACAGCAUGCUGGACCAUUUCUGACGCUGAGGCACGAAAGCGUGGGUAGCAAACAGG
rnacentral:rRNA from 1 species